rnacentral:lncRNA from 1 species
AGCGAAACUCUUCCUCCUCCACGAGGCCUCUCCCAGCCCUUCAGUUCAUGACGCCUUGGUGAGAGAGGAGGAUCAAAUCAGGCAGGAAUGCAACCACAUCAGUCACCUGGAAGGAACGCAGGCAUCCGCAGAGGAGGGGGUGAGGUGUGGAGUCUCUGCCCGAACAUCGGUUAAGUGGUCUUGACAGAGAAGGCAGAAAAACCUUCCCUGCUGGAGUGUUAAAAGGUGACAACGCCCCAACCCUGUUUCUAACCUGCAUCAUUCCCCCACUUCCUUAGAGCCAUGUGCUCAGAAAGCAGGUCCAGGUGCCCUUGCAGGAGCCUCCUGUCCCUUUGUUCCAGCAGGUGUCUGUGAGUCUGUGUGCACGCCCUUGGGGGCUUAUGGGACCUAUAAGAACAGAUGAUUCUUCCCGUCUGUUCUGCCACAACCAAGCAACGCUCUGCCCUUCCUUGUAUGCCCCCUGGCCCCAAGGCAGUCUGAAAACACAAGGGAGUUCUCUUGAUGGAAACUUCUUGGGAGACUGCAGGCCUGCUAUGCAAA